UACGUAGGGGGCAAGCGUUGUCCGGAAUUAUUGGGCGUAAAGAGCGUGUAGGCGGUCCGGUAAGUCAGCUGUGAAAGUCAAGGGCUCAACCCUUGAAAGCCGGUUGAUACUGUCGGCUAGAGUCCGGAAGAGGCGAGUGGAAUUCCUGGUGUAGCGGUGGAAUGCGCAGAUAUCAGGAGGAACACCAACGGCGAAGGCAGCUCGCUAGGACGGUACUGACGCUGAGGCGCGAAAGCGUGGGGAGCGAACAGG
rnacentral:rRNA from 1 species